GACGAACGCUAGCUACAGGCUUAACACAUGCAAGUCGAGGGGCAGCAGGAUCUAGCAAUAGAUUGCUGGCGACCGGCGCACGGGUGAGUAACACGUAUCCAACCUGCCGAUAACUCGGGGAUAGCCUUUCGAAAGAAAGAUUAAUACCCGAUGGCAUAAUUAGACCGCAUGGUCUUAUUAUUAAAGAAUUUCGGUUAUCGAUGGGGAUGCGUUCCAUUAGGCAGUUGGUGAGGUAACGGCUCACCAAACCUUCGAUGGAUAGGGGUUCUGAGAGGAAGGUCCCCCACAUUGGAACUGAGACACGGUCCAAACUCCUACGGGAGGCAGCAGUGAGGAAUAUUGGUCAAUGGGCGUAGGCCUGAACCAGCCAAGUAGCGUGAAGGAUGACUGCCCUAUGGGUUGUAAACUUCUUUUAUAUGGGAAUAAAGUUUUCCACGUGUGGAAUUUUGUAUGUACCAUAUGAAUAAGGAUCGGCUAACUCCGUGCCAGCAGCCGCGGUAAUACGGAGGAUCCGAGCGUUAUCCGGAUUUAUUGGGUUUAAAGGGAGCGUAGGUGGACAGUUAAGUCAGUUGUGAAAGUUUGCGGCUCAACCGUAAAAUUGCAGUUGAUACUGGCUGUCUUGAGUACAGUAGAGGUGGGCGGAAUUCGUGGUGUA
rnacentral:rRNA from 1 species